GCUGCUAUAGCUCAGAGGUAGAGCACUCCCUUGGUAAGGGAGAGGUCGAGAGUUCGAUUCUCUCUAGCAGCA
rnacentral:tRNA from 1 species